rnacentral:lncRNA from 1 species
CGUGACGUCACGGGCCACCCGCCAGCCCCGCGCUCUACCAGGCAGAGCGCGUGUGGCCGCCGAGCACAUGGACCCACUGGUCAAGCGGGCUCGGCAAGGCCAGGAUGAAGAGAAGCUACGAACUUAGCAUUCCCAGAGCCCCCCGAGUGGAUAUCCGCGUGGAAAGGAUGUUGGCAGCCCCGGUGACCUCGGAGUCACGGCUGGAUCCACCCUCUUGUCUGAUUUUCUUAACUCUACUACGGUAAGAAGAUGCCCUCCAUCAGCAGGCCGUGUCUGCUGGGACCUCUCUGGAGACUUCCUGAACCCUGUGGAUUUACAGUAAGAUGCAGUUUCCUGGGGAGUAAUUCUGGUGGAUACAAAUUCCGGAGUAUUACACCUGGCUUGCCUGGAGAUGUUACAAGUAGCUGGAUGGAUUCUUCAGCCUGGAUGCCCACUGAAAACAAGGACCGAAACUAAGAGGAUUGUAUCUCUACCCUUGACUCAAUGAGAAUGUUUGUUGUCAUCUCUCGGGCUACCUGGAGCUCCCUCUAAAAUUAUACCCUUUAAGCGUUCCAGAAGGAUUUUGAGAUCCUUUCCUAAAUCAAAGGUGGAAUAUUUGGGGAUUUGGAAAAUUGAGCCAGUCUCUCAGAAGAACCAGUUGUGUUACUUUGCUGUGAGAUGCCUGCCCUAAGAGAGGAGCAGAAGGUCGGAACGGGUCCUCUAAUGUGAUAAUUAGAUGUGAAGCGUUGACUUAAGAGAUGCCAAGUAACUCAGCAGAUGUCACACAGACGAUAAAUAGCAAAGAUGGAAGUCUUCAUGCCGGAGGCAAUCCUAUAAGACAGCUGAGUUCUGCAGAGCUGGUAGGAGACAGACUUGCUCAGGUGAUAGAUCCAGCCAUGAUACUGACCCUAAGAGAAUGAGACGCUCUGCAGAAGACAGAAGAUUCCUGAAACUGGGAAAGGUGCCUAGAAAUCCUGAUAAGAGUGAAGAAGGGUACCUGGAGGCACAGCAGCCAUGUUGAACCUAUGAGGUGAUGAAAAACCAUGCAACUAGAAACCAGAAUGGAAGAAAAGAAGAAGCUGGAUCCUUGACUGAAUUGUCGAUGGGGGAUAGUCCAUCAUCCCAGGGCUAAGACCACCUCCAGAUUUCUUGUUUGGUGAAACAAGUCCUGAUUGUUUACAUUCCCUCGUGUUGAGCUGUCUCUUGCUUGUAGCUGAAAGCAUUUCUAAUAGAUAUUCAGAUUAUCAGCCUUAGCUCCAAGCUAGAAUACUCUAUGGGACCUUAGCUUCUCCAUGAAUUCCUUUGCUCAUCUGUGUAAUGCUCAAUAAAUGUAAAUUGAACCCUGAAUGAGGGACAAUGACACUA